GGGUUGACAUUGAGAUGGAGUUAAUCGGGGAUGAUGAGAGGACAGUAUGGAAAUCAGUGGUAUCAAAAGAUGUGUACAGCAACGAUUCUCAUCCAAUAUGUAAGUUUGUUUUUGUGGACGAGUGUUUAUAAAACGGGUUACAGAGCUAACAUCUCUUCAAAAUGUGAUGAAGGACACUGAUGAAGGUCUUCAUGAGUCGUGUUCAGUGGGGUGAUGAAGGUCUUCAUGAGUCGUGUUCA